ensembl:lncRNA
AUGUAUCCUCCACCUCUAAUUACCUGAUCGCUCGCAGGUGUGACCAAUGCCACGUUCCCAGUGGCUGCAGCACCUGCACAGGAUAAUAUAUCCCCUCUAUUACCUCCCCCAAUCAGAGCUUGGAGAUCUGCCUCCUGUGUUUGGUUCCUCCCCCUGGUUCACCACAAUAUAUAUAACUGUACCAGAGGAAAGAGUCAGAAACUUCCUGAGAACCCUCUGUGUUGGUCAUAUUGGACGGGAGAGUCUCUAUUUCACAAAAUAUUACACUAUUCAUAGCGCAAUUCACUUUGUAACUGAACUUGUGACACAACUUCUCCAGUUAGAACCCAAAUGGUGACAAGGUGAGUAGGGGGAGUGGUAUUCCCGCCAUGCAGAUACUGUAGAUGAAUUUCGCUGAGGUCGUUAUGUGGGGGAAAGGUUCAGGUUGCCAGGCAGGAGUGACGGGAAUCCAGGGUGAAUGAACUAGAGACAGAGUAUGAAGAAAUAGAUAAGCACACAAACCACUACAAGAGGUGAACAGAGAUAAAUUCACUGUUGAGGCUGACACGGACCAUCUGCCUUGUCGUCGUUGCUCGGCAACCGGAACAAACAGACACAGACAAACAGGAAAACAUACUCAGGGAGCUGUGGUUGUGGCAACUUGCUUCUGUUAGUUUUUAAAUAAUUUUUGUGGUGGAAAUUUGGGGAUUCAGCCCUUGUGAGAAAUCAAAAGUAUCAGAGACUCGCUUAUGAUUAAGUAUUUUACUAACUAGAAUAUAGGAAAAAUCAUAAGAAUACAGAAAUCAUCAAGCCGUAAGUACAGACAGAAGUCAAAUGACUACAAUUCAGCUGAAAGGGGACAGAGGUUCCUUCCCCCAAAAGGAGCAGGAAGAUCUGACCAAGUUAAAAAGAAGAACAAGAGGUUUUAUACACUUAGAGGGGUUUGUGCUGCCUCAGGACAGGACAGCCCACCCCUCAAAGAGGAGUGUUGGAAAAGUACCAGAUGAUGUAGGGGUGACCCUCCCUUUAUGGACCCAGACAAUCAACAACAUCUAAAAGGUGGACCUUAUGCUCCAGCCCCGACUGAAACUACCUCAUCAGGUUGGACUUGCUUUUACGUAACACAAAUAAGUUUUGAAUGAGUCAUUGCAUGAAGUGGAUGAAUGUUCACUGUGUGUGUCUCUUGUGAAUUAGAUACCUUUGC